UAUUACAGCCAUAUCACCCUGCAGCCCAAGACUGGUUGCCCACUGAAGCUAAGCAGGGCUGAGCCUGGUCAGUACCUGCAUGGGAGACCUCCUGGGAAAACUAGGUUGCUGCUGGAA
rnacentral:rRNA from 1 species